AGAAUCUGAGGGUCAGGCACAGUAACUUAUAUACUAAGGAUGCAAAGAGACUCUAACCAGGAUGCCAGUGACACGGAGCAUGAGAUAACGCUGGUCACUACAGUCCCCUCAGACUUGCUCUGACCGUGCAGAAGGACAGACUGACUGGGUUCUCUGGCUUCCUUCAUCCUCCUUUACUCUUGGCAACCACAUCAACCUUUCAAACCACUAAACCUGACUGUUCUAGCCUUGGGCCAAGCCCUACCUCACGCAAGGACUCAAGCUUCAAAAGAAUUGAGACCUGGUGGGGUAAAUGCAUUGCCCGAAGCCAUGUGAUUAAGUAAAGGAAGCCAAGAGCUGAAGGCCGGCUGUCCUACUCCAAUGUCCAAGGUCCUGGCCUGCCCUGAUACAAGAAGGAACUCACUAACCACAGGAAUGACCUGAAUCUGUUGUGGAGGCUGGGACACUCCCUACCUUUGUCACCUGUCAACAGCUUACCUUGUAAUCACAAGGACAAUUAAACUUCAGCAGACACCUUGGAGUGGGACAUUUAAACUGUAGAGGGCUCCACAUGAGCUUCUGGAUGUAAAUGGGGCCUCCAUAAAACACACUGUGGGGAUGCUCAGAAAACAGGUCUUAUGUAAGGACUAAAAGACACCUGAGAGAGCUAGACCAGCCACACUGAGCAUCCUGCUGUCCGUGGGACCUCUCGGGAACACUUGACAUGAAACUUCUCCUGCCCUUUUGAAGGCCCUUUGGCUUCUAUGCCAGUUACUUUUCUGUCACUGCGAUAAAAUUCCACGACCAGAAGCAACUUCAGGAAGAAAGAGUUUCCGGAUCCAGAGGGGCAUAUCCACCAUGGCUGGAGAAGGCACAGAGAGGUGACAGGAGCAAGGAAGGUGGCUGAGCUUCAAUCCUAAGGUUGAGUGAGAGACUACACACUCUCAAAGCCUGUUUCCAUUGAACUUCCUCCAGCAAGACUUCCCCUUUUUCUACAUUGCCCCAGUCCUGGAGAACAGUCUCUUAAAUUAACACACGUCACUAAUAAGCGUGCUUUUCCCUGACCGUGCCCUUCCUUCCCCAGCAGUCACCAUGCAAGCUCUUUGAAGUCUUCCCACCUUUCCGAGUCUGCGUCUUCCUUUCUGUUUCUCUCCGAUGCUAGCCAGAGCCUAAUCACCCUUCCUCUGGGUUCCUGGGGCUUUUUCACCUCUCAGAAACACCUCCCAGUUGCCAUGUGGCUGCUUGUUCAUGCCCCUUUCUCUUUUCUCCAUGUCCCUCCUCCAGGCAGCUGCCAGGAUUUACAGUUUGCCGGCCCUACGGUGUGACUUUUCUUUUUAAAUCCAGAUAUAAAAUGUUCCUGAGCUUUAAAAAUAAAUACACUUCCCCUUGAGUUGUCAAUUGCCAAUUUAAAUUGUCAACACCUAGCUUAUUAUGGUUGAGUCUGGCCAGACUGGUUGAACAGAUGGAUGGAUGGAUGGAUGGAUGGAUGGAUGGAUGGAUGGAUGGAUGGAUGGA
ensembl:lncRNA